rnacentral:rRNA from 1 species
UACAGAGGCCACAAGCGUUAGUCGGAAUCACUGGGCUUAAAGGGUGCGUAGGCGGGCUCGCAAGCGUCUUGUGAAAUCCCAUGGCUCAACCAUGGAAUUGCAGGGCGAACUGCGAGUCUUGAGGCAGGUAGGGGCCGGAAGAACAGUAGGUGGAGCGGUGAAAUGCGUAGAUAUCUACUGGAAUGCCGAUGGGGAAGCCGUCCGGCUGGGCCUGUCCUGACGCUGAGGCACGAAAGCGUGGGGAGCAAACAGG